rnacentral:rRNA from 1 species
GACGGGACCCGCACAAGCGGUGGAUUAUGUGGAUUAAUUCGAUGCAACGCGGAAAACCUUACCUACCCUUGACAUGUACGGAACCUCGCAGAGAUGUGAGGGUGCCCGAAAGGGAGCCGUAACACAGGUGCUGCAUGGCUGUCGUCAGCUCGUGUCGUGAGAUGUUGGGUUAAGUCCCGCAACGAGCGCAACCCUUGCCAUUAGUUGCUACAUUCAGUUGGGCACUCUAAUGGGACUGCCGGUGACAAACCGGAGGAAGGUGGGGAUGACGUCAAGUCCUCAUGGCCCUUAUGGGUAGGGCUUCACACGUAAUACAAUGGCAGGUACAGAGGGACGCCAACCCGCGAGGGGGAGCCAAUCCCAGAAAGCCUGUCGUAGUCCGGAUUGUAGUCUGCAACUCGACUACAUGAAGCUGGAAUCGCUAGUAAUCGCGGAUCAGCAUGUCGCGGUGAAUACGUUCCCGGGUCUU